rnacentral:rRNA from 1 species
GUUUCCCGUAAGGCGCCGAAUGAGUCAUUAAAAAAUUAACAUCAUCCGAUCCCUAGUCGGCAUAGUUUAUGGUUAAGACUACGACGGUAUCUGAUCGUCUUCGAUCCCCUAACUUUCGUUCUUGAUUAAUGAAAACAUCCUUGGCAAAUGCUUUCGCAGUAGUUAGUCUUCAAUAAAUCCAAGAAUUUCACCUCUGACAAUUGAAUACUAAUGCCCCCAACUAUCCCUAUUAAUCAUUACGUCGAUCCUAGAAACCAACAAAAUAGAAUCAAACGUCCUAUUUCAUUAUUCCAUGCUAAUGUAUUCAAGCGCGAGCCUGCUUUAAACACUCUAAUUUUUUCAAAGUAACAGUCCUGAUUCCCCGCGACACCAAAUUAAUGACAUCGUGGUUCUUCAGAAGGGAGGAACCAAUAACGCCAGUACGUACCGAGGCACGACCGACAAUUUGAUCCCGAAAUUCAACUACGAGCUUUUUAACUGCAACAACUUUAAUAUACGCUAUUGGAGCUGGAAUUACCGCGGCUGCUGGCACCAGACUUGCCCUCCAAA